rnacentral:rRNA from 1 species
UACGUAGGGGGCGAGCGUUGUCCGGAGUUACUGGGCGUAAAGGGCAUGCAGGCGGUCCGACACGUUUUGUGUGACAGCGGGUGGCUUAACUACCCGAGUAUGCAAAAGACGGUAGGACUUGAGGACUCGAGAGGGACACGGAAUUCCGGGUGGAGUGGUGAAAUGCGUAGAGAUCCGGAGGAACACCAAAGGCGAAGGCAGUGUCCUGGCGAGUGACUGACGCUGAGGUGCGAAAGCCAGGGGAGCGAACGGG